rnacentral:misc_RNA from 1 species
AAGUCGUAACAAGGUUUCCGUAGGUGAACCUGCGGAAGGAUCAUUAUAGAUUGGCCGAAAGGCCGUGUCUUCAUCCACACACACCGUGAACCAAUCUCCGAGGGUCGCUUGAGGGUCUUCCUGUCUUUGUUGACGGGGGACCUGGCCCGGGAGGAGCCACACAAACAAAAUGUAAAAAAGUGUAAACUAUCGUAACAAAAAGCAAAAU